UCUUGCAAGUUGCAAAGAGCUGCUCCCACUCACUCUCCACACUGCCAGACACACAGGCUUGGGAUACCGGCCAUCUGGGGUCAGAAAAGGAGGAGGAAAGAGCCGACACUCCGCUGUUGAACUCUUCACCGGAGAAGCUGCUCAGAAGUUCACUCCUGACACAAAAUGAAGAUUCCCUGUUUCCUUCCUUCCAACCAUAUUUUCACCAUCCCUCUCUCCCUUCCUCCUUCUGUCAAUAAACGUGAGCCCUUGACUAAGCACCAGCCCGGCGAUAUGGAUGGGAAGAGCAUGGUACCUGUCAUUAUGACCACAGGGAUAAGAAUCAACAGAAAUGAACGACAAAAUAAGGAGGGAUGUGUUCGGUGAUGGUGAAUGAUCAUGGCUAUAGGAAUCCACCGAUACCAAGUAUGAAGGAAAUAAUGCCAGAAAGAAGGCCAGUCCUUGCCAUCAGCAAUUUUCGCCUUCUGAGAAAGUCUGCAGCACUGCACUUUCAAGAUUGGUGACAAUUUCCAAGAAGGGUCAACAGUGGCCUGGCCCUUGGGAAGCACUACUAAAAAUUAAACGUAAUCUGGGGAUAAGGUCUUGCUCUUGAAAUCAUUUUUCCUUUUAGCAACCACUUAUGCCUUCCCACCUAUAAAGCUACUUUUUCUGACAGCUGAAACUUCCCACUGCCAGGCACUGAUGCCCACUGAUGAAGAAGACGGAUUCCUUGUUCUCAAGCUGCUUGAGAACUGGGACAAAGAAUUCUAGACUGGUGUGCUGGACUUCCCAACGUUAUUAUGGACAAAAGCAAACAUUUUUGCUGGCAUGACACUGUUUCCAUCCUAAAAAAAAAAAAAAAAAA